rnacentral:rRNA from 1 species
UAUGAGGGGAGCAAGCGUUGUUCGGAUUUACUGGGCGUAAAGGGCGCGUAGGCGGCGUGACAAGUCACUUGUGAAAUCUCCGGGCUUAACUCGGAACGGUCAAGUGAUACUGUCGUGCUAGAGUACAGAAGGGGCAACUGGAAUUCUCGGUGUAGCGGUGAAAUGCGUAGAUAUCGAGAGGAACACCUGCGGCGAAGGCGGGUUGCUGGGCUGAUACUGACGCUGAGGCGCGAAAGCCAGGGGAGCGAACGGG